rnacentral:rRNA from 1 species
GACGAACGCUGGCGGCGUGCUUAACACAUGCAAGUCGAACGGAAAGGCCCUGCUUUUGUGGGGUGCUCGAGUGGCGAACGGGUGAGUAACACGUGAGUAACCUGCCCUUGACUUUGGGAUAACUUCAGGAAACUGCGGCUAAUACCGGAUAGGAGCUCCCGCUGCAUGGUGGGGGUUGGAAAGCUUCGGCGGAUGGGGAUGGACUCGCGGCUUAUCAGCUUGUUGGUGGGGUAGUGGCUUACCAAGGCUUUGACGGGUAGCCGGCCUGAGAGGGUGACCGGGGACAUUGGGACUGAGAUAGGGCGCAGACUCCUACGGGAGACAGCAGUGGAGAAUAUUGCACAGUGGGCGGAAGCGUGAUGCGGCAGCGCCGCGUGCGGGAUGACGGCCUUGGGGGUGUAAACCGCUUUCGCCUGUGACGAAGCGUGAGUGACGGUAAUGGGUAAAGAAGCACCGGCUAACUACGUG